rnacentral:rRNA from 1 species
UACGGGAGGGUGCGAGCGUUGUCCGGAAUCACUGGGCGUAAAGGGCGCGUAGGCGGCGCGGAUAGUCGGCGGUGAAAGCCCGGAGCUCAACUCCGGGUCGGCCGUCGAUACUUCCGGGCUUGAGCACUGUAGAGGCAGAUGGAAUUCCGGGUGUAGCGGUGGAAUGCGUAGAGAUCCGGGAAGAACACCGGUGGCGAAGGCGGUCUGCUGGGCAGUUGCUGACGCUGAUG